rnacentral:rRNA from 1 species
CCUACGGGCGGCAGCAGUGGGGAAUAUUGCACAAUGGGGGAAACUCUGAUGCAGCGACGUCGCGUGAGUGAAGAAGUAUUUCGGUACGUAAAGCUCUAUCAGUAGGGAAGAAAAUGACGGUACGUGACUAAGAAGCCCCGGCUAACUCCGUGCCAGCAGCCGCGGUAAUACGGAGGGGGCAAGCGUUAUCCGGAUUUACUGGGUGUAAAGGGAGCGUAGAGGGCAGCGCAAGUCUGAAGUGAAAUCCCUUGGCUUAACCAUAGAAUUGCUUUGGAAACUGUGCAGCUGGAGUGCAGGUGAGGUAGGCGGAAUUCGUGGUGUAGCGGUGAAAUGCGUAGAUAUUAGGAGGAACACCGGUUGCGAAGGCGGCUUACUGGACUGUAACUGACGUUGAGGCUCGAAAGCGUGGGGAGCAAACAGGAUUAGAUACCCUAGUAGUC